CUACGUGCCAGCAGCCGCGGUAAUACGUAGGUGGCAAGCGUUGUCCGGAAUUAUUGGGCGUAAAGCGCGCGCAGGCGGAUCAGUCAGUCUGUCUUAAAAGUUCGGGGCUUAACCCCGUGAUGGGAUGGAAACUGCUGAUCUAGAGUAUCGGAGAGGAAAGUGGAAUUCCUAGUGUAGCGGUGAAAUGCGUAGAUAUUAGGAAGAACACCAGUGGCGAAGGCGACUUUCUGGACGAAAACUGACGCUGAGGCGCGAAAGCCAGGGGAGCGAACGGGAUUAGAUACCCUGGUAGUCCACGCCGUAAACGAUGAGUGCUAGGUGUUAGACCCUUUCCGGGGUUUAGUGCCGCAGCUAACGCAUUAAGCACUCCGCCUGGGGAGUACGACCGCAAGGUUGAAACUCAAAGGAAUUGACGGGGGCCCGCACAAGCGGUGGAGCAUGUGGUUUAAUUCGAAGCAACGCGAAGAACCUUACCAGGUCUUGAC
rnacentral:rRNA from 1 species